UGAUCCUGGCUCAGGAUGAACGCUGGCGGCGUGCUUAACACAUGCAAGUUGAACGAUGAACCUCACUUGUGGGGGGAUUAGUGGCGAACGGGUGAGUAACACGUGAGUAACCUGCCCUUGACUUUGGGAUAAGCCUGGGAAACCGGGUUUAAUACUGGAUACGACCUUUUGGCGCAUGCCAUGUUGGUGGAAAGCUUUUGUGGUUUUGGAUGGACUUGCGGCCUAUCAGCUUGUUGGUGGGGUAAUGGCCUACCAAGGCGACGACGGGUAGCCGGCCUGAGAGGGUGACCGGCCACACUGGGAAUGAGACACGGCCCAGACUCCUACGGGAGGCAGCAGUGGGGAAUAUUGCACAAUGGGCGCAAGCCUGAUGCAGGGACGCCGCGUGAGGGAUGAAGGCCUUUGGGGUGUAAACCUUUUUCAGUAGGGAAGAAGCUGGCCUUUUGGGUUGGUGACGGUAC
rnacentral:rRNA from 1 species